rnacentral:rRNA from 1 species
UCAAGCUAGAAAGAGCAUACGGCGGAUGCCUAGGUGCUCAGGGCCGACGAAGGACGUGGUAAGCUGCGAAAAGCUACGGGUAGCCGCAAGCAGGCGUAGAUCCGUAGAUCUCCGAAUGGGGCAACCCGGCGGGGGCGAACCCCCGUCACCGCAUACUGAACCCAUAGGUAUGCGGGGGGCACCCGGCGAACUGAAACAUCUUAGUAGCCGGAGGAAGAGAAAGAAAAAUCGAACCCCCCAGUAGCGGCGAGCGAAAAGGGGCGAGCCUAAACCAGUACUCUUCGGAGUACUGGGGUUGCGGGACUCUCGUAUAAGCAGUUGAGGACUUAGUCGAAGCGGUCUGGAAAGGCCCGCCACAGAAAGUAAAAGCCUUGUAGGCGAAAAGUCUGAGACGCAGGAGAGGAUCCCAAGUACCACGGGACACGUGGAACCCCGUGGGAAUCCGGGGGGACCACCCCCCAAGGCUAAAUACCCUGGGCGACCGAUAGUGAACAAGUACCGUGAGGGAAAGGUGAAAAGCACCCCGGGAGGGGAGUGAAAGAGGACCUGAAACCGUAUGCUUACAAGCAGUCAGAGCACGAUAGAUGUGUGAUGGCGUACUUUUUGUAGAACGGACCGGCGAGUUACAUCCAGCGGGCGAGGUUAAGCGGGAGACGCGGAGCCGAAGCGAAAGCGAGUCUUAAAAGGGCGCAAGUCCGUUGGAGUAGACCCGAAACCGGGUGAUCUACCCAUGUCCAGAGUGAAGCUUUAGUAAAAUAGAGUGGAGGCUCGAACCGACCGUCGUUGAAAAGGCGGCGGAUGAGGUGUGGGUAGGGGUGAAAUGCCAAUCGAACCCGGAAAUAGCUGGUUCUCCCCGAAAUAGCUUUAGGGCUAGCCUUGGGAAUGAAUACCGGAGGUAGAGCACUGAAUGGGCUAGGGGUCUUCACCGAUUACCGAACCCAAUCAAACUCCGAAUGCCGGAUAUUCGGAUCCCAGGAGUCAGACUAUGGGUGCUAAGAUUCAUAGUCGAGAGGGAAACAGCCCAGACCGCCGGCUAAGGUCCCCAAGACAGGCUAAGUGGAGAAGGAUGUGGAGUUGCCCGGACAACCAGGAUGUUGGCUUAGAAGCAGCCAUCAUUUAAAGAGUGCGUAAUAGCUCACUGGUCAAGUGGCUCUGCGCCGAAAAUGUAACGGGGCUAAGCCUGUCACCGAAGCCGCGGAUUUUGGUGGUUGGUCGUUAGUGGUUAGUGGUUGGGGGGAAAGGAAAUGGCAGGAUAUAAGACACUGGAAGUAUAUCAAAGAGCAUAUAAAAUGUCUUUAGAAAUACACCGUGUCACACAAACCUUUCCCAAUUAUGAGAGGCAUGAGUUAGGAAGUCAGAUAAGAAGAUCGGCUGUAUCAGUUGCACUAAAUAUAGCAGAAGGUUAUGGAAGAAAAGACGCAAGAGCCGAAUUCCGACAUUUCCUAAGAACUGCCUUGGGUUCAUGCAAUGAAACCUUAGUAUUGCUAGAGAUAUCAAAAGACCUUGGGUAUCUGACCGAAGAGCAGUACCAAGAGUACAGCCAGGAAUACACAAUCAUAGGCAAGCAAAUCUAUCGACUAAGGGAAGCAUGGACAAAACCCCAACGACCAAUUACUAACGACUAACCACCAAGAUGGUAGGGGAGCGUUGUAUGCGCGCAGAAGCAGUACCGUAAGGAGCUGUGGAGCGCAUACAAGUGAGAAUGCCGGUAUAAGUAAACGCAAAGGCAGGUGAGAAUCCUGCCCGCCGAAAACCUAAGGUUUUCUGGGGAAGGGUCGUCCGCCCAGAGUAAGCCGGGACCUAAGCCGAGGCGAAAAGCGUAGGUGAUGGAGAAUCGGUUGAGAAUCCGAUGCCACUUACAGCCGUUUGAAGGAUGGGGUGACACAGGAGGGUAGGCUAAGCGCGCGGAUGGAAAGGCGCGUCCAAGGUGGUAGGGUGAGAGAUAGGCAAAACCGUCUCUCGAAGAGCCUGAGAACUGAAGGGGAGCGAAAUUAAGUAGCGAAGUAGCCGAACCCAAACUGUCAAGAAAAACCUCUAACGAGGCUAGUAAGUGCCCGUACCGUAAACCGACACAGGUAGGUGGGGUGAGAAUCCUAAGGCGCGCGAGAGAACCCUCGUUAAGGAACUCGGCAAAAUAACCCCGUAACUUCGGGAGAAGGGGUACCCCGGUAGCGUGAAGGGUGAACACUUGGAGCGUGAGGGGGUCGCAGAGAAAAGGCCCAAGCGACUGUUUAGCAAAAACACAGGUCCCUGCUAAAUCGAAAGAUGACGUAUAGGGGCUGACGCCUGCCCGGUGCUGGAAGGUUAAGGGGAGGGGUUAGGGGAGACCCGAAGCUCUGAACCGAAGCCCCAGUAAACGGCGGCCGUAACUAUAACGGUCCUAAGGUAGCGAAAUUCCUUGUCGGGUAAGUUCCG